AUAAAGUACCGUAAGAAUAGUUGAAUUGAUUGUCAAUGAUUCGAUAUAAGCAAGCUCAACCAGCCAGUUGUAUAGAAUCAACGAAGUCUUUGCAGCUUUCGAAAAACAUGUUACAUUAAUACUUGCAUGUUUGACAGAAGAGAGUUUACAGUUGCUCCCACAAAGUUGCUGAACUGAAUACUUUGAUGUCCAAGUAAGAGACG
rnacentral:lncRNA from 1 species